rnacentral:rRNA from 1 species
GAUGAACGCUGGCGGCGUGCCUAAUACAUGCAAGUCGAGCGAACAGACGAGGAGCUUGCUCCUCUGACGUUAGCGGCGGACGGGUGAGUAACACGUGGAUAACCUACCUAUAAGACUGGGAUAACUUCGGGAAACCGGAGCUAAUACCGGAUAAUAUAUUGCACCGCAUGGUUCAAUAGUGAAAGACGGUUUUGCUGUCACUUAUAGAUGGAUCCGCGCCGCAUUAGCUAGUUGGUAAGGUAACGGCUUACCAAGGGGACGAUGCGUAGCCGACCUGAGAGGGUGAUCGGCCACCCUGGAACUGGGACACGGUCCAGACGCCUACGGGAGGCAGCAGUAGGGAAUCUUCCGCAAAGGGCGAAAGCCUGACGGAGCAACGCCGCGUGAGUGAUGAAGGUCUUCGGAUCGUAAAACUCUGUUAUUAGGGAAGAACAAAUGUGUAAGUAACUAUGCACGUCUUGACGGUACCUAAUCAGAAAGCCACGGCUAACUACGUG